ACGUAGGUGGCAAGCGUUGUCCGGAUUUACUGGGCGUAAAGGAUGCGUAGGCGGACAUUUAAGUCAGAUGUGAAAUACCCGAGCUUAACUUGGGUGCUGCAUUUGAAACUGGGUGUCUAGAGUGCAGGAGAGGUAAGUGGAAUUCCUAGUGUAGCGGUGAAAUGCGUAGAGAUUAGGAGGAACACCAGUGGCGAAGGCGACUUACUGGACUGUAACUGACGCUGAGGCAUGAAAGCGUGGGGAGCAAACAG
rnacentral:rRNA from 1 species